GGACUGAGAGCAGUGCCAGUCCUUCAAGGCAGCAAAGGGCAAGAAGGCAAUGAUGUUGGGCGUCCACAGUGGGACUGAGAAGAUAGAGGCCCCAGUGCUUCUUCUGGCUGCAGUAGGACAGGCAGCGACCCUGGGAACAGCAGAAAGAUGCCUCCGUGGGUACCACCUCUCCUUGCUGUGGCAUACUAUGGAUCAGUCUCCUUCAAAACUGCUGCUUCUCUUUCAAGGAAAAUCAGGGCUAUGGCAUGCUGCUGACCCAAUAGCCCUGGAAGGAGAAAGAGAGACAGAGGAAGUGCCAACACAGAGGUAACCAUGAAAAUUCUAGAGGUGAGCAGCCCUGGGCAACGGCCCUGCAAAGACACCCCCUGGCCCCACAUGUCCACCACUCCAUCACGUGCUCUCCAUCCACUCACUUUGUCUCCUUUGCCAGCAGUUUGGGACUUCCGCACGUCUUCACAGCACUUGAGGAUGCACUCCUCAGUGCCCAGGAAAAUGGAUAAGAACUGUGAAAUACUCGACCAGUUCAACAGACGUCUUCAGGCCUUGACCAGAUGCAUGGCGAUGCUCACCUUGGAACUGCCUGAGGGCAGCGAUGAUUCCACCAGCUCGGUCACAGUGAGUGAAAACCGCUGCUCUUUGAGGACAUCGCUGUAUCCGUUGAGCACCAGUUGUGGGGAAAUGGAGGCACCUUACCGACACCCAAAAGCCCAGGAGAACUUGGAAAGCUCCAUCCCAGAAAGGAAAGCGGAGCAGGGACUGGGCCUCAGUGAUCAGAGAAAGCCUGAUGUGAUGGUGGCUCCCAGGGUGCAGGACCUGCCCUUAGAGGAUGAGGCUAUGCAAAGUCAUUUGGAGCAUCCUAACAUAAAAAUGCAGGCACCACAGUUCCUGAAGAGGAGUUUCUCAGAGCCUGUCCUGGGUCAGAGAGACUCCCAGCUUCCCCAUCCUCUGAGGCACUCAAGGAGGCCCACUUACUCGCUCAUCCAGCGUGGGCAUGGGCAAGCUCUGGCAAGGAGGUCAGCAGCAUGGGCCCUUGUCCCAUGGCGAAAAUCUGCCCCCGAGACAGAUACGUGCAGACAAGAAACAAGGAUUCCAGUCCACAUUGCCUGCUGCAGAAUCUAUGAAGGCCCUGAUGACCAUCAGAUCAAGAUGAUGCAUCUGUGGCUGGAGCAAUAUGAAUAUGUUGAGAGGCGAAAGUUGGAAUUUUAUAGAGACUACUACACCCAGCCUAACAACGAAGGAUCCCAGGGCGUGGCUCCAUCUGACACUGCAGCCCCGGUUGUUGCAGGAGGAGCAACAGUUCGAGAGAGGAAUUCACCCGAGGUCAAGGCCAGUGAGCAACAGGACAAGAAAAAUACCACUGCUGCCCAGCAGCCAGAGGGGCUCCCUGAACGUACCCUCGUGGAGAGUUCUUCGGUUCUGCCAUGGAGGCGUCUGCCACCGGGUAGACCAUUCAGACCCCAAGCAGCACACGCAGAGAUGACGCCCAGGCAAGAAGCAGCAGAACACACGACUCCUAGACCAGAGACACCACCUGUGCUGUGCAGAAACUGCUGUGCACCAGCCCUCCUGUGCCAUUUCAUUCAGAAUGCCGGGGCCAAGCUCCGAGCUGCCUGCAUGGCCCUCUAUUCCCUGAUCAGAAAGGCAACUAAGAAGCUCUCAAAGAAGGGAAGAGAGCCCAUCAUGAAAAACAGAUCCUUAGAGCAGGCCAGGCUGGACACAGAUCAACGUAGGAGUAGACGAUCACUGAGUCUACUGGCCAAAAAGAAAAACCCACGUACACCUCAGGAGGCAAUGAGGAAGGACAUGGUGGCAUCUCAAGAUAAGACUUUCAGCGAUGCCAGUGAGGCCAGAGGUGCCGAAAAAGCAUUGAGCCAGGGUGGCAGCAGCCACAGGCACCUGGACGUGCUGGCUCCUGUUGCCCGUAGAGAGCCAGCCAACGUGCUGCUACCUCGGAGAAGGCUGCUCUUGGAGACUGAAGCUCCUGCCCCAUCUCAGUCUGUUCUAGCAGAUGUCCAGGCAGGCACAGCUGCAGUGAGUAGUGGAUUACUGCCAGAUGCUACCAGGGGGCAGAAGCAGAAGGGCAAGGGACACACCCAGGACAAGCCAGCUCCUCCAAGAAGAAAGUCCCCAAAGAAAAAGCAGUCCUCCAGUGAGCAGAGACCCUCAGGUCUGCCACAGCCUCCAAAUCCCACUGGGACCAACGUUCCAGUCCUCUUCGUGCAGCAGCAGAGACCCUCAGGUCUGCCACAGCCUCCAAAUCCCACUGGGACCAACGUUCCAGUCUUCAUGCUGGAGCAGAGACCCUCAGGUCUGCCACAGCUUCCAAAUCUCGCUGGGACCGACAUUCCAAUCUCCCUCCUGCAGGAGCUUUUCACAGCACUUAGAGAUUUGAAGAAAGCCAGACAAACUGCUGAUGAGCUGCAGAAUCAGGUGCUGGCUUCCUUCUCAAAUCAGCCCACAAACAAUGCCAAGUAACUGAGGACAGAUACGGCAGCAGAGGAACCUGGGGCGAGGACACAGAGUGGAAGAGAAGGGCGAGGGAUGCACCCAGAACAGAUCUGACUAUGGGUCACUCUGCCCUACAUGCACCAAAGCUCCAUGCUGCUGCCAGCCAGGAGGUGUAAGCUCCCAGCGAUUGGCUGCACCUGCAACUGCAGCCCCAGGUGCAGGAAGAGAAGUGACUGUGAGAGAAGAAUCCCUCCAUGAGGACAGGGACAAGAGGCAGCAGACCUGAAAAAUGCUCCUGCCGAUCAGCAGCCAGAGGGGCUCCUUUGGCUAAGGACAUCAACCCCUGUAAUUGCAGGAGGGAGCCCACCAGGACACACAGUCAGUGAGCAGCAGAUCUCUGUCAUGCCCUUCCAGGGUGCAGGAGCUCUCCCUCUUAAGUGACGUCACGGGUGGUUAUCCCCUCUUUCCUGUGUAAGAGCAGCAGCUGCAGCUCCUCUGCUCACUACUCAGCCAUCCUUGCAUCCUUGCGUGGACAGCUCUGUUGCCAUCUUCUACGGAGAGGACAGAGUGGCUGUCCUGGUCCCUGAGGGCAGGGACCCGGGCCUGGCAUUCCCCGAUGCUUUCAGCAUGGACUGAGAGCAGUGCCAGUCCUUCAAGGCAGCAAAGGGCAAGAAGGCAAUGAUGUUGGGCGUCCACAGUGGGACUGAGAAGAUAGAGGCCCCAGUGCUUCUUCUGGCUGCAGUAGGACAGGCAGCGACCCUGGGAACAGCAGAAAGAUGCCUCCGUGGGUACCACCUCUCCUUGCUGUGGCAUACUAUGGAUCAGUCUCCUUCAAAACUGCUGCUUCUCUUUCAAGGAAAAUCAGGGCCAUGGCAUGCUGCUGACCCAAUAGCCCUGGAAGGAGGAUGCCACAGUGAAUUGUGUGGACCAGACAAGGUGGCUGAAUGGGAGUAAUCACACAGUGCUGGGCAGAGCAGUGUCUGAGGGGAAAAGAAACCAGGGAGCCUGAGGCGCUUGAACCAAGAACUGAACGACGCCAAUCCCAAAUAGUGCCGGUAUGCAAAGUGUACAGGAAAUUAGGUCUGGUAGCAAGUUUGUUUGAACAAACCUAUCGAGAAAAGGUAGCAUUCUGGAUGGCAUCCAGUGCUUGGUUUUCUUAGCCUAGGAAACCAGAGGCUGAAAAGGUCUGAAACUGUUUUCUAUAAAUAAAGCAGGGAGAAAGGAGGAAGCAAACAAGAGAGAGGAAAGGAUUCAUUUAACCUAAAGCAGUGUUGGCAGGAAAACAACUACGUACAGACUGUCCACAAAUAUAUUUAGGCUGAAAAUUAAAAGGCUGUUUGCCUCUAAAGUGAUCAGGUUCUCUUCCAAAGGCAAAAAAUAACAUUUCUUUGAAGACAGACUUUCAAGCUGAACUCUUUCAAAUUCUUUUAAAAGAUCUCUGUGAUAGCACAGGAGUCGGCUAGUAAGCUCAAAGGUCUCUUUUUUCUAAAAGGAGCUGUCUAGAUCUAGAAUAGUUCUAAGAAGGUGGGUUUGGGAAAAUAUUUAUUUUGCAUCUUUAACGAGAAAUCACUCAGCAGGCAAUUAUGCCAGACUCCAUCGGUCUCUCCAUUGAUUUCAGUGAGCUUAUGAUCAAGCCCUGUUUGUGAAGCUCUGACUCACCGAACAGUCUACCAGGACCCUGAAAGCAAACUGUGGGAAGAGCCCUGUGGAGCCGACAUAACAACUGACAACUUUGCUUCUUCCCCAAGACCACACUGGGACAGGAUGAAAACAGGAUCAGGGCUCUGCAGUGGAGCAGCAGCGUCGUGAUGCACCAAGGUGCACAGAAUGAAAGCAGAGAGCUACACAUAACAUGUCCAAAUCUUUGAAGCUGCAAAGGACUUUGAAACAAAUCCACAAAUUUGCCAUGUGGCAGUGGACAGAAGGCAAAGAGCCACAUUUUCCUUGCCUUUCCAGUGGAGCUAGAACUGUUCCCCAAGACAACAGUUUAAGAGACGGACAUGGCUGAACUUCUGAUACAGGCACUGGUCUGACCACUAGGAGUUGUUACUGGCUUUUGGGGGAAAGUAAAACAUCCCAAUGAUCUCUGUUCCUCACCAGCCAUUUUCACCAUCUAAUAUCUUGGAACAUUUAAUUGUAACAGAACAUUUCAUGUGGCUCAUUCUGCAUUGAGAUAUUCUAGCACAUUUUUCAAGACAUAACACUAUGCAUUUCAAAUAAAUUACAUCAUAUUCCACUUUUUUGGAC